rnacentral:rRNA from 1 species
GAUGAACGCUGGCGGCGUGCCUAAUACAUGCAAGUCGAGCGAACGGACGAGAAGCUUGCUUCUCUGAUGUUAGCGGCGGACGGGUGAGUAACACGUGGAUAACCUACCUAUAAGACUGGGAUAACUUCGGGAAACCGGAGCUAAUACCGGAUAAUAUUUCGAACCGCAUGGUUCAAAAGUGAAAGACGGUCUUGCUGUCACUUAUAGAUGGAUCCGCGCUGCAUUAGCUAGUUGGUAAGGUAACGGCUUACCAAGGCAACGAUGCAUAGCCGACCUGAGAGGGUGAUCGGCCACACUGGAACUGAGACACGGUCCAGACUCCUACGGGAGGCAGCAGUAGGGAAUCUUCCGCAAUGGGCGAAAGCCUGACGGAGCAACGCCGCGUGAGUGAUGAAGGUCUUCGGAUCGUAAAACUCUGUUAUUAGGGAAGAACAUAUGUGUAAGUAACUGUGCACAUCUUGACGGUACCUAAUCAGAAAGCCACGGCUAACUACGUGCCAGCAGCCGCGGUAAUACGUAGGUGGCAAGCGUUAUCCGGAAUUAUUGGGCGUAAAGCGCGCGUAGGCGGUUUUUUAAGUCUGAUGUGAAAGCCCACGGCUCAACCGUGGAGGGUCAUUGGAAACUGGAAAACUUGAGUGCAGAAGAGGAAAGUGGAAUUCCAUGUGUAGCGGUGAAAUGCGCAGAGAUAUGGAGGAACACCAGUGGCGAAGGCGACUUUCUGGUCUGUAACUGACGCUGAUGUGCGAAAGCGUGGGGAUCAAACAGGAUUAGAUACCCUGGUAGUCCACGCCGUAAACGAUGAGUGCUAAGUGUUAGGGGGUUUCCGCCCCUUAGUGCUGCAGCUAACGCAUUAAGCACUCCGCCUGGGGAGUACGACCGCAAGGUUGAAACUCAAAGGAAUUGACGGGGACCCGCACAAGCGGUGGAGCAUGUGGUUUAAUUCGAAGCAACGCGAAGAACCUUACCAAAUCUUGACAUCCUUUGACAACUCUAGAGAUAGAGCCUUCCCCUUCGGGGGGGCAAAGUGACAGGUGGUGCAUGGUUGUCGUCAGCUCGUGUCGUGAGAUGUUGGGUUAAGUCCCGCAACGAGCGCAACCCUUAAGCUUAGUUGCCAUCAUUAAGUUGGGCACUCUAAGUUGACUGCCGGUGACAAACCGGAGGAAGGUGGGGAUGACGUCAAAUCAUCAUGCCCCUUAUGAUUUGGGCUACACACGUGCUACAAUGGACAAUACAAAGGGCAGCGAAACCGCGAGGUCAAGCAAAUCCCAUAAAGUUGUUCUCAGUUCGGAUUGUAGUCUGCAACUCGACUACAUGAAGCUGGAAUCGCUAGUAAUCGUAGAUCAGCAUGCUACGGUGAAUACGUUCCCGGGUCU